rnacentral:ncRNA from 1 species
CUCUAGUCCAACUUUGUAAAAUGACUUAAGAGGUGUAGAAUAAGUGGGAUUCAUUUUUAGCGCAAGUGAAAUACCACUACUUUUAACAUUAUUUUACUUAUUCCAUGGGGUGGAGACAUGGAAUUGCACAUAUGUUAAAAGAUAACACACAUUUCCUCAAAGUGUUGUCAUUGAUGGCAAUGGUUGAGAG